CUCGGGAUUAUUUCACACUCCAGACAGCUCAAGAACCCACCCUGGGAGUUCCGAUUCCUCGCUCCGAUCGGCCGAGCCGGUGCCGGGCCCCCGGGGAUUUAAACCUGGCUUUUCUCCCGUGCAAAGUGGGGAAGAAACUGCACCAGGCAGCCUGUGAUCUUGCAAUAUUGCUCCGGUUUAUCUUUUUUUAACCUCACCCCAGCCGGGGUGGGGAGGGGAAAGCGGGGGGAGGCAUUUUUCAGCAAGAGAAACAGUUCGAUCCCUAUAAAUAAAGAUCCAUUGACAAGGAGAAAAAGAAAGGGGGGGCCAGUGGAGCGCUGGAUGGGGGGGGGCGAUCUUGCAAUAAAUAAAUAAUUAAAGGAACCUGCUGCUGCUGCUGCUGCUGGGGUUCGCCUCCUGCCGGGGAAGGGAGGCGGGUUUGAAGCGCUCCCGCACGUCUGGAGGGGGGCGAGCUUGUCUCAGACAGGUGAUGGGCGUUUCGGCUGCGCUCCGGAUUGACUCCUUGGGUUUCGCUUUGGUCUGAUCUAAGCAAAUAUGCAGAAGUACCGGCUGGUCUAGUCCUAAAGCCAAGAGGAGCGCGCGAGAGAGCAGCAGAAGCGGAGCUCCUCUAGCAAAGGGAACAUACAAACCCCCCCCCACCACACCUCAACGUGGACGAAGAGCCGCACGCCUCACCCGUGUCUUUCCCCGAGGGAUGAUACUGAAUUCUCCAGCCACAGGAGCCGGGCUGGAGCUCCGACACAGCACCCUUGCCUUUGAUUCGUGCCCCAAGUGUAUUAGAACGCGAUGAGGACCUGGGCUUGCAUUUUGCUGAUAGGUUUUUGCUACCUUCCCUUCGCGUUUCCCGAGGAAGCUGAAAUCCCCCAGGAGCUAAUCGAGAGACUGGCUCACAGCGAAAUCCACAGCAUCCGCGAUUUGCAGCGCCUCCUGGAGAUUGAUUCCGUAGGAUAUGACGAUGUUUCAGAAACAAACUUGAGAUCUCAUAGUGUUCAUUCUGCUAAACAUGUCCAAGAAAAUCACCCUGUACCCAUUCGCAGAAAAAGAAGCAUCGAGGAAGCCAUUCCUGCCGUCUGCAAAACAAGAACUGUUAUAUAUGAGAUACCUCGGAGUCAGAUCGAUCCCACGUCUGCUAAUUUCCUGAUAUGGCCACCGUGCGUGGAGGUGAAACGUUGUACUGGCUGUUGCAACACCAGCAGCGUGAAAUGCCAGCCAUCACGGAUACAUCACAGAAGUGUCAAGGUGGCAAAAGUGGAAUAUGUUAGAAAAAAGCCAAAAUUAAAAGAAGUUCUGGUGAGGUUAGAAGAGCAUAUGGAAUGCACCUGUACAUCAUCAAAUUCUAAUUCAGAUUAUCGAGAAGAAGAAACUGUGUAGAAGUGGGCAGCCCAUUGGCCUGAUGUCACUGAGGUGGGACAGCAACUGGCUGGCUAUUUUUGGUGCUGGCUUUAAUUUGCCUCAGUUUCCCAGCAGAGGUUACAAUUUCUGUCAGAUGCCUGGCUGAGACUGUAACUUGGGUGAGAGCACCUGGUGGAGGUUACCAUGUCCUGCAGACCCCUGGGGAAAAUUCUAAUCUCUUCAGAGGACAUCUCACUAGCGCAGGAAGGCCUAGGCAAACAGGUAAAAAACGGAAACGAAAAAGGUUAAAACCAACAUAAAAACUACUGGAACUAUUUGCUAAUCAGAUUAACAGGUAUUUAUUGGGAGUAGUAUGAUAGAAGCAAAGAUUUUGUAAAAUUCAACUUUAAAAGUCAGCAUGUAAACUCAAUCAAAACAGCAUUUAGAACUUCUUGUCCCAGAUGUAAGGUGAAAUAAGCUAGAAAAAAAAAAAGAACUUCUCUCUGGGACAUGGAUGUACAUGGUUUGUUACAUUCCUGAACCUACUAUGUAUGGUGCUUUAUUGACUGUAUACUUUAUUUGUUCUCCUAUGUGAAAAAAACUGGCUGAAAAGAACACUUAAUGAGAACAAAGAGACAAUGUACAUUUGUUUAAUGUGACAUCAAAGCAAGUAUUGUAGCACUCUGUGAAACAAUAGGAAGCUUCCCUGUCCAAAAAAACACAAAACAACGAAACAAACAAAGAAAAUAAAAAGACAGUUGAAUGAAUGGAGGAUACCAAAAGUACAAAACAAAAAACAAAAAUAAAAGAGGAAGAAGAAGAAGAAAAAAAAAAGAACAAAAAUCUUAAGUGAAUAGUGGAUUUCUGUCAGAGCAGUCAACGGUGCUUUAUGUCAAGAAAUGUGCCUGCUUUCUUGAUGAAGAUGGAUGGACACAAAUGGACUCCAGGCACAAAAAAGCAGGAAUGUAUCAAAUGAUCAAAUGCCACGCAAACACUAUAGAAACAGUACAUCCUUGCUUGGUGGUGUUUUAAAGUCUAUACAAAAAAGAAUACCUUCUGGGGAGCCUUAAAUGGAUUUUUUUUACACCAUAAAGUGAUUAUUAAGCUUUCUUUUUACUCUUUGCCUAGCUUUUUAUUAUCUCUUGGACUACAUUUAUCAAUAACACAUAUAGAAGACUGGUGUAACAGUAAGCAGAACACAAACAUUAUGGUAUUUCUCCUAGUGGGAUGCAAACUAAUGAGAUAUAUUAAAAUAAAAAUGGUAUACCUAUGCAUAAUUUUCUAGACGUUUCUUGGUUUAUGUCUCCCAACCUCCCCCGUAAUUUAAAGCAUUUAAAAAAACCUGAUGUGUGUAAACAAAUCAUAGGAUAUCCAUGCAAAUAUCCUUUUUUUCUUUGAAACGUAUGCCAGUUGCCUAAUAGUGAUAUUGUGUUAGCAAUUGCCAUUCUUAUCAGUAUACAAAUACUUUUAUUUCACAUGUUGGCGCUAUGUGAAAUGUACAAAUUCUUGUAUCCGCAUUGUACAAUGUCAUUGUGGCAUGGGAAAACCCUUGCUGCAAAUAGUUGAACAAAACCUAAAAUUCUUUAUUUUUGGUAAAAUGUUAUGCUUUAUGUGUAUUCAACAGAAAUAUGUGUUUUGUAAAGGUGAAGUUUGUAUUUUUAUCUAAAAUUAACAGUUUUAUAUACCUAAGAAAGCCUGCUAUGUUUUCUUGAAGAAAAAAAAAAGAAAAGAAAAGAAAAGAAAAAAAAAAAGCAUUUUGUGGUCAUAUUUUUGUAGUUGAAUAGCCCAAAUAACUUCAAAAUAUAUUUUAAGUAUAGCAGGGCAGAUAAAAUACUCAGGCACCAACUCCUACAUUUUCAAAGUGCAGAGGAAUUUAAUUGUUCAACUCCUCCAGGGACUGUAAUGGGAGCCACAUGGCUAAUUCUUGUCUGCUGCUUUGGAAAUGUAGGCCUGGGCCAUAUAUAUCAUGCCUACCCUGUUAGCCAAAAUCACUGCCCCAGCCUGGUGGUUUAGAUGAUAUGCCCUUUGUGUUACAGUAUUUGGAUUAUCACAUUGGACAUGUAAAAUAAACUACUGGGUUCUAUUCUUUAUGAAACAUCUCCAAUAAGAUGAAAGAUUUCGCUCUCCUUUGUACAUAAUGACAAAAGACAAGUCUUGAGGAUAAUGUGUCCACCCUGAAUUAAAAGUCUCAAAUGUGAAUGAACUCCAGAGCUUUACGAUGUAACAAAAAAAGAGAGAUUUUGUUAACACAUCACCCCACCCACUAUAGCUAUGUCCAAUUUCAACCAAACAAAGCAAUUUUAAUGAACAGGCAUUGGCUUCAAUUGCUAAUGCAGGGAUAGCAUUAGUCACUAUCCUGUUUGCGAUCAUCUUCCCAGUGUAUUACAUUAAGCACCAAAACUGGAAACACAUUUACUAAAACUAUCUGUGCUUGUUCUUCACUAAGUGUACUGUUCACAAUGUUAUGCCCAUGAAUGUAUGUGUCUGCGUUUAAAAGAAACGUGUAUAAAUUGUAAUUUAUAUAUUUAUGUUUCGGUGGGAUGUCAAUAGUGUUGCUCAAUUUGGUUUUUUUUUUCUUUUGGGGGUGGUUGUCUAAAAUAGCUAAUGAAAAAAGAAUUCAUAUAUCUCUAUUAAAAUCAUGUAGAUGAAAAAUAUUAUGUGACCCGCUCAGACAUUGUGCAAGUUUGAAAGGAUGCCAAAGUCACUUAAGUGGAAUAUUGCAUGAGCGAAUUUUUCAACUAAGGUUGCACUGGUACAAUAGGGAUUAAUUUAAAUCACUCACCUGGGCCAGAUCUUCAGACAGUUUAAUUUGGUGUAGCCCCAUCGAUUGUAAUGGUGCUGUGUGUGUACACCACCUGAGUAUAUUUAAUCCCUGAUGAAAAUGCAAGUACAGGCAUGCAUUUUCCUGGUACCAGCAUAGAAAUCUAUUAUGCCAAGUUUGAAAGGAGGAGAGAAUGAAGACUGAAUGAAGAACUUUCUGGUAAUUAUUUGUCUGAGAUUUGAAAUCUGUAAUUCAUUUUGUUACCAGGAAUUAGGAGCAUCCAAAGUCUUUAUUUUCAAACCCAGUGUUUACAUGGUUCACAGUAGCAAUCAUCAAAGUCUUAGGGCCAGAUUCUCAGCUAGUGUAAAUUGGCGAGCUCUAUUGACUUCAGUUUACAUCAGCUGAAGAUCUGGAUCAGUCUUUAAACUAUUGCUGAAUGUUAUAAUUUGUGCCAUUGAUUCUAUUCCAGUUGAAAUGUUAUCUGCAAGCAUUUCCAGCAUUACUGUCUGUUGAAUCAGUCCUCAUCUAUUUCUGUGAUAUAACAAAUAUAACCAGGAGGAACAGUAACAUUAAGGCUUGUGACUCAAAAUAGCAUAAGCAAGGGACAGUAAUUCAAAGUUAAGUUGGGCAUUUUGAGGGCCAGAUCCUCAGUUCACGUAAAUCAACAGCUCCAGUGACUUCAAUGGAGUUAUGCCAAUUUACACCACUUGAAGAUCUGGUCCUCUACCCUUUACUCAUCCCCUUUGGUCUCAGGUCUUGCAAGGAUCUCAGAUCAUUGCGUAUGGUUAAUGUAACAUCAUGUUCCAACACUUAAGCACCAUAGGUGAGUUUGAGAAAGAGUGUCAGACUUAACUUUGAAUUUCCAUGCUUUGCAAUGGUUUGUUUCACCAUUGUGCUGUAAAUUAAACAGUUUUCUGUGCAUUCACAAA